rnacentral:misc_RNA from 1 species
AACGCACCUUGCGCUCCUUGGUAUUCCGAGGAGCAUGCCUGUUUGAGUGUCAUUAAAUUCUCAACCCUUGUUAACUUUUUAGUUAGUAAGUGGAUUGGAAGUGGGGGUAUGUUGGUUUCUUCAUUGAAAUGAACUCCCCUGAAAUGCAUUAGCUGGUUGCCUUGUGCAAACAUGUCUAUUGGUGUGAUAAUUAUCUACGCCGUGGGCUAUUUGCCGUUUAUAGCACUGCUUAUAAUCGUCUGUUCAUUCAGACAAUACAUGACAAUUUGACCUCAAAUCAGGUAGGACUACCCGCUGAACUUAA